GCCGCGAUAACUCAGCUGGUAGAGCACCUGCCCUGUAUGUGGGGGGUCACCGGUUCGAUUCCGGCUCGCGGCG
rnacentral:tRNA from 1 species